AUUGAACGCUGGCGGCAGGCCUAACACAUGCAAGUCGAGCGGUAGAGAGGAGCUUGCUUCUCUUGAGAGCGGCGGACGGGUGAGUAAUGCCUAGGAAUCUGCCUGGUAGUGGGGGAUAACGUUCGGAAACGGACGCUAAUACCGCAUACGUCCUACGGGAGAAAGUGGGGGAUCUUCGGACCUCACGCUAUCAGAUGAGCCUAGGUCGGAUUAGCUAGUUGGUGAGGUAAAGGCUCACCAAGGCGACGAUCCGUAACUGGUCUGAGAGGAUGAUAAGUUACCCUGGAACUGAGACACGGUCCGGAAUGCUGCGGGAGGCAGCAGUGGGGAAUAUUGGACAAUGGGCGCAAGCCUGAUCCAGCCAUGCCGCGUGUGUGAAGAAGGUCUUCGGAUUGUAAAGCACUUUAAGUUGGGAGGAAGGUCAGUAGCUUAAUACGUUGCUGAUUUGACGUUACCGACAGAAUAAGCACCGGCUAACUCUGUGCCAGCCGCCGCCGUAAGAC
rnacentral:rRNA from 1 species